GGUCGAUUAACUCAGUUGGUUAGAGUGCCGUACUAAUAACCCGCGGCUCGGGCUGUGAGUGGUAUGCGGAUGUCAUGGGUUCGACCCCCAUAUUGACCA